rnacentral:tRNA from 1 species
AUUGCUUUGGCAGAGAAACAUGCAUUAGAUUUAGGUUCUAAAAAGAUAGAGGUGAUUUCUAUAGGUAAUA